rnacentral:lncRNA from 1 species
GACGACUGAAGCCCCAUAUAGACCCGUGAUGGGUGGCUGCUGGAAUCCCUUACUCUGGCCCUUGGACUUUGGAAAUGUGGGAGGGGCAGGGAACAAUAUGGGGAAACCCAAGACUUCAGGAGGUGAAAAGAAAAAGAAAAAAACAAAAAACAAAAAAAAACAAAAAACUUGUACCCAAUUGCUCCCAAUUUUGAGAGGAUUGGGUGGGCAGGGGAACUCCUAAAAAAAAAAAAUAAUAAAUGACCACUUCCUCGUUUCUGGGGAAGCAAAGGAGCUUAGAGCAGCUGGUGUGCUCACCCCUCCCCAGACGCCUCCAUUAACCACAGACUAUGUAGCGCUGGCCCUAGCCUCUGGCAGAGCCUGUUCCUGGCCAAACUGUGGCUACAGCUGGAGGGUCAGGAACUGUUACCUUCCUUCCCCUUGGCAUUAAUAAAUUUAAGUUAAUCCUUU